AUGGGAACUACUGUUGACCGUUCUGUAAAUGACGGUAAUGGUCCAAAUAUAUACAAAAUAAAUGGGCAGGUUUGUCAUCGAAUGGGAUCUCUUAUGCCUAAGGAAGGAAAUACCCCUAAGUAUGCCGAACUCUAUAUAUAUGAUACCCAGAAUGAGGUGCAAAAUAGGAUUCAGGCUUUAGAAAAGGGUGAAAAGAGUGAUGGUGGUUUAGAUGAAUCUAUUGUUGAAGGCUUGAUGCAUAUGCUUGAUACACACAAUUCUUAUGUCAAAACGUUUAGAUUAGCUAGAGAAAUACUAGCAGCCAAUAAGCAUGCCGAGAUAGCCAUUCGUUUAGUUGCCCCUGGAGAAUCUGAUGGCCCACAGUUUAGCCUUCCUACAACUGAUGAGCUAGCAUCUUUAAUGUUUGGUGAGUUCACGGUGGAGGUUUCUUGUCGUGACAUAAUAAUACAUGGUAGAAAUGACAAUCUGCAGCAAAUAUCUUCUUUGCAAACUUCAUAUAUGCCUUUGCAGUAUCCUCUUCUCUUCCCCUAUGCAGAACGUGGGUUUCAGCUCGGGCUUAAAUAUAUUAGUUCAGACCCUUUAGAUACUAGCAAAAGAACCAGGCCCACUAUGCAGGACUAUUAUUCCUAUUGUCUCCACUAUAGACCAGAGCAGCAUAAUCCAUACCUUUGUUGUGGUUUGCUUUCCUCACAGGCCAUUUUAGAUGCACGCGCUUGCAUAGACGAGUGGAGGCUGCAUUUCAUCAUCAAGGAUAAUAAUGAUCUUAGAGCAGAGAACUUGCAAGGAGUCACUGAUGCUAUUGGAAAAGGGCAGACAGAUGCAAGUUCUGUUGGCAAAAAAAACAUACUUCCAUCCUCUUUUACCGGUGGCCGGCGUUAUAUGAUUGAGAACUUCCAGGACGCAGUAGCUAUUUCACGUGUCUUUGGCCCACCGGACCUUUUCACCACCUUUACCUGUAAUCCCAAGUGGCCUGAGAUAACAGAAGCCCUGUGUUCUAAGCCUGGCCAGAUGCCUUCAGACAGGGCGGAUCUUCCGGUCAGGGUUUAUCACAUGAAUCUCAAUGACUAUAUUCAUGAUAUUAAGAGUGGGGAGGCCUUUGGUCCUGUCGUAGCGGUACUGCACAUUGUGGAGUUCCAGAAAAGAGGGCUUCCUCAUGCCCAUAUCCUGAUCUGGCUUGAUAGGAAAAAAACGGGAGCUCGAGACCUCUCUAGAUGA
rnacentral:rRNA from 1 species